rnacentral:rRNA from 1 species
GAUGAACGCUGGCGGCGUGCUUAACACAUGCAAGUCGAACGGAAAGGCCUCUGCUUGCAGGGGUACUCGAGUGGCGAACGGGUGAGUAACACGUGGGUGAUCUGCCCUGCACUUCGGGAUAAGCCUGGGAAACUGGGUCUAAUACCGGAUAGGACAAUGGUUUGGAUGCUGUUGUGGAAAGUUUUUCGGUGUGGGAUGAGCUCGCGGCCUAUCAGCUUGUUGGUGGGGUAAUGGCCUACCAAGGCGUCGACGGGUAGCCGGCCUGAGAGGGUGUACGGCCACAUUGGGACUGAGAGACGGCCCAGACUCCUACGGGAGGCAGCAGUGGGGAAUAUUGCACAAUGGGCGCAAGCCUGAUGCAGCGACGCCGCGUGGGGGAUGACGGCCUUCGGGUUGUAAACUCCUUUCGCUAGGGACGAAGCGUUUUUGUGACGGUACCUGGAGAAGAAGCACCGGCUAACUACGUG